AGAGUUUGAUCCUGGCUCAGGAUGAACGCUGGCGGCGUGCCUAAUACAUGCAAGUCGAGCGAUGAGGCUCCUUCGGGAGUACAUCAGCGGCGAACGGGUGAGUAACACGUGGGUGACUUGCCCCGAAGAUGGGGAUAACCUCUGGAAACGGGGGCUAAUACCCAAUGUGCUCGGUGAUUCGGUUCAUCGAGUAAAGCUCCGGCGCUUCGGGAGAGGCCUGCGGCCCAUCAGCUAGUUGGUAGGGUAACGGCCUACCAAGGCAGAGACGGGUAGGGGGCGUGAGAGCGCGGACCCCCACACUGGCACUGAGAUACGGGCCAGACUCCUACGGGAGGCAGCAGUAAGGGAUAUUGCGCAAUGGACGAAAGUCAGACGCAGCGACGCCGCGUGGGCGAUGAAGGCCUUCGGGUUGUAAAGCCCUUUUAUGGGGGAAGAGGAAAAGGACGGUACCCCAGGAAUAAGUCCCGGCUAACUACGUGCCAGCAGCCGCGGUAAAACGUAGGGGACAAGCGUUAUCCGGAUUCACUGGGCGUAAAGAGCGUUGAGGCGGUUCCGUAAGUUGGGCGUGAAAGCUCCGGGCUUAACUCGGAGAUGUCGUUCAAUACUGGCGGGGCUUGA
rnacentral:rRNA from 1 species